rnacentral:rRNA from 1 species
UACGUAGGGUGCAAGCGUUAAUCGGAAUUACUGGGCGUAAAGCGUGCGCAGGCGGUUAUGCAAGCCAGAUGUGAAAUCCCCGGGCUUAACCUGGGAACCGCAUUUGUGACUGCAUAGCUGGAGUACGGCAGAGGGGGAUGGAAUUCCGCGUGUAGCAGUGAAAUGCGUAGAUAUGCGGAGGAACACCGAUGGCGAAGGCAGUCCCCUGGGCCUGUACUGACGCUCAUGCACGAAAGCGUGGGGAGCAAACAGG